rfam:Pseudonocardia sp. HH130629-09, complete genome.
CUUCACCGAGCCCAGCCAGAGCGGCCGCUCGCGGCGCUGCCCGUAGGUGGCCAGCAGUGCCUGGGCCUC